rnacentral:rRNA from 1 species
GACGAACGCUGGCGGCGUGCUUAACACAUGCAAGUCGAACGGAAAGGCCCUGCUUUUGUGGGGUGCUCGAGUGGCGAACGGGUGAGUAACACGUGAGUAACCUGCCCUUGACUUUGGGAUAACUUCAGGAAACUGGGGCUAAUACCGGAUAGGAGCUCCUGCUGCAUGGUGGGGGUUGGAAAGUUUCGGCGGUUGGGGAUGGACUCGCGGCUUAUCAGCUUGUUGGUGGGGUAGUGGCUUACCAAGGCUUUGACGGGUAGCCGGCCUGAGAGGGUGACCGGCCACAUUGGGACUGAGAUACGGCCCAGACUCCUACGGGAGGCAGCAGUGGGGAAUAUUGCACAAUGGGCGGAAGCCUGAUGCAGCAACGCCGCGUGCGGGAUGACGGCCUUCGGGUUGUAAACCGCUUUCGACUGUGACGAAGAGUGAGUGACGGUAAUGGGUAAAGAAGCACCGGCUAACUACGUG